rnacentral:lncRNA from 1 species
GCCUCUCUGCCCUUCGCCAUCCUGACCCUGGUGAACACCCCAUAUAAGCGAGGUGUACCUACUACCCCUACUGCCCGGACACCAUCACCCAUGGGCUUAUGGCCGGGGCCACCAUCACAGCCACUGUCAUCCCGGUCUCAGCUGGGGAAGCCUACCUGGUGUACACUGAUCGCCUCUGUUCCCGUUCUGACUUCAACAACUAUGUGGCUGCCCUCUACAAGGUGCUGGGCACCUUCUUGUUUGGGGCGGCCGUGAGCCAGUCCUUGACAGACCUGGCCAAGUACAUGAUCGGUCGUCUGCGCCCCAACUUCUUGGCCGUCUGCGACCCAGACUGGAGCCGGGUCAACUGCUCGGUCUGUGUGCAGCUGGAGAGGGUGUGCAGGGAGCCCUGCCCACGUCACCGAGGCCAGGCUCUCUUCCUACUCUGGUCACUCCUCCUUCGGGACGUACUGUAUGCUGUUCUUGGCGGUCCGGUCCAGUAUGUCUCAGACUUCUUCAAAGCCCGACCCCUGCGGCCCUGCCUGGAGGAGGCGGUGGAGCGCAGCCCAGCCUGUCCCUGACGCUGACUGUCGGCGAGGCCUGGCACAACCACCGUGACUACCCCGUCUCCUCCUCCUGAGCCAGGACCUCCAGGCGACCAUCUGUGGGCCAGCUAUGCCUGGGCCCUGGUCAGCAGGAGGACCCAGACAGGCCCCAGGUUCCCAGCUAGUGCCAGAGGCAAGCAGUGCCCCUGGGGGCCAGGCGUCCUGUGGGCUGUCCUGGCUGCUCCUUGUGUGGGGUGGGGAAGGGCCUGGGAGCCAGGCACCCCGGGCUUCGUGGGGGUGUCCACGUGGGUUUCUAAUAAAGCAGGCAUUUGUUGAGGGCCUUGCUGCCAGGAUGGCUUCCUGCUUCUCUCUGGCCGGCACACAGAGUUAUCUCAUGACCAGAGGGCCUGAGCCGAGGGCGGGCAGGACCCCAGGGCACAGCCGGGAGGAGUCUGGCGGUGGAGACAGCAGGUUGAGUGCGUUGAGGGAAAGCACACCCCUGGUGCACGGCCAGAAAGACCAGCCAGACUCACUGCCCUUCCUGAGUGCUGCCCUUUCCCCUCCUCAACCCUGUGUAUGCCCCAAGGCCUCAGAGUCCCUCCACAGGUGAUGGGGGUCCUGCCUUCCGGACUGCCCUUCAGCAGCACCCUCCGCCCUGCACAGACUGGGCUCCAGGCCCUGCAGGAAGCACUGUCCAUGCCUUCCCUGUGCCCCUGUGGGACUCUGGCCUGAGCCCUGCCGUCCUGACCCUCUGUCGACAGCCGGUUCUGAAGCCAGAGGCUGGGCUGGUGCCUCUAAGCCAUUUCAGAACUUUCUGGGUUUGCCUUUUCAGUGGGAGACUGAUUCAUAGAUUUUGUUUUUUACCAAAAAAAAAAAAAAAAAGAAAAAGAAAGA